CGGCCGCGGUAUCCUAACCGUGCAAAGGUAGCAUAAUAACUUGUCUCUUAAAUAGAGACUGGUAUGAACGGCUAAAUGAGGACCCGCCUGUCUCCUAAGACCAAUCAGUGAACCUGAUCUUUCAGUACAAACGCUGAAAUAUAACCAUAAGACGAGAAGACCCUGCGGAGCUUUAAAAACACCACACUACACCCAGGUGGCAUUUUUAAGUUGGGGCGACUGCGGAAACAAAACAAACUUCCACGACAAGGGCUUACCCCCCAAAAAAGAUACACAUAUCAACCAUCCACAUGACCCAGUACAACUGACCAACGAACCAAGUUACCCCAGGGAUAACAGCGCCAUCCUCUUAAAGAGCCCCUAUCGCCAAGAGGGUUUACGACCUCGAUGUUGGAUCAGGGCCCCCAAGUGGCGCAGCCGCUACUAACGGUUCGUUUGUUCAACGACUAACGCCCUACGUGAUCUGAGUUCAGACCGGA
rnacentral:rRNA from 1 species